rnacentral:rRNA from 1 species
ACGGGAGGCAGCAGUAGGGAAUAUUGCACAAUGGGGGGAACCCUGAUGCAGCAACGCCACGUGUGGGAAGAAGCAUUUCGGUGUGUAAACCACUGUCGUGAGGGAAUAAUGCUUGAUUUCGGUCAAGUUGAAUGUACCUCGAAAGGAAGCACCGGCAAACUUCGUGCCAGCAGCCGCGGUAAUACGAGGGGUGCAAGCGUUGUUCGGAAUCACUGGGCGUAAAGGGGGCGUAGGCGGAGACGCAAGCAGUCUGUACAAUACCGGGGCCCAACCCCGGACCUGCAGACUGGACUGUGUCUCUUGGAUAGUUCAGGGGCAGGCGGAAUUCCUGGUGUAGCGGUGGAAUGCGUAGAGAUCAGGAGGAACAUCAGUGGCGAAGGCGGCCUGCUGGGGACUCAUCGACGCUGAGGCUCGAAAGUGCGGGUAGCAAACAGGAUUAGAUACCCUGGUA